AACGAACGCUGGCGGCAUGCCUAACGCAUGCAAGUCGAACGAGACCUUCGGGUCUAGUGGCGCACGGGUGCGUAACGCGUGGGAACCUGCCCUUAGGUUCGGAAUAACUCCCCGAAAGGGGUGCUAAUACCAGAUAAUGUCUUCGGACCAAAGAUUUAUCGCCUUUGGAUGGGCCCGCGUUGGAUUAGCUAGUUGGUAGGGUAAAAGCCUACCAAGGCGACGAUCCAUAGCUGGUCUGAGAGGAUGAUCAGCCACACUGGGACUGAGACACGGCCCAGACUCCUACGGGAGGCAGCAGUGGGGAAUAUUGGACAAUGGGCGAAAGCCUGAUCCAGCAAUGCCGCGUGAGUGAUGAAGGCCUUAGGGUUGUAAAGCUCUUUUACCCGGGAUGAUAAUGACAGUACCGGGAGAAUAAGCUCCGGCUAACUCCGUG
rnacentral:rRNA from 1 species